rnacentral:rRNA from 1 species
GACGAACGCUGGCGGCGUGCUUAACACAUGCAAGUCGAACGGAAAGGCCCUGCUUUUGUGGGGUGCUCGAGUGGCGAACGGGUGAGUAACACGUGAGUAACCUGCCCUUGACUUUGGGAUAACUUCAGGAAACUGGGGCUAAUACCGGAUAGGAGCUCCUGCUGCAGGGUGGGGGUUGGAAAGUUUCGGCGGUUGGGGAUGGACUCGCGGCUUAUCAGCUUGUUGGUGGGGUAGUGGCUUACCAAGGCUUUGACGGGUAGCCGGCCUGAGAGGGUGACCGGCCACAUUGGGACUGAGAUACGGCCCAGACUCCUACGGGAGGCAGCAGUGGGGACUAUUGCACAAUGGGCGGAAGCCUGAUGCAGCGACGCCGCGUGCGGGAUGACGGCCUUCGGGUUGUAAACCGCUUUCGCCUGUGACGAAGCGUGAGUGACGGUAAUGGGUAAAGAAGCACCGGCUAACUACGUG